UACGUAGGCAGCAAGCGUUGUUCGGAAUUACUGGGCGUAAAGAGUGUGUAGGCGGUGCUCUAAGUCUGUUGUGAAAUCUCCCGGCUUAACUGGGAGGGUGCGGCGGAGACUGGAGUGCUAGAGUGUGGGAGAGGUAAGCGGAAUUCCUGGUGUAGCGGUGAAAUGCGUAGAUAUCAGGAGGAACACCUGUGGUGUAGACAGCUUACUGGACCACGACUGACGCUGAGGCACGAAAGCGUGGGUAGCAAACAGG
rnacentral:rRNA from 1 species